UACGUAGGGACCAAGCGUUGUUCGGAUUUACUGGGCGUAAAGGGCUCGUAGGCGGCCAACUAAGUCAGACGUGAAAUCCCUCGGCUUAACCGGGGAACUGCAUCUGAUACUGGAUGGCUUGAGAUUGGGAGAGGGAUGCGGAAUUCCAGGUGUAGCGGUGAAAUGCGUAGAUAUCUGGAGGAACACCGGUGGCGAAGGCGGCAUCCUGGACCAACACUGACGCUGAGGAGCGAAAGCCAGGGGAGCAAACGGG
rnacentral:rRNA from 1 species